AGAGUAACAAGUUUGUGGAUAGAGGGGAAGCAGUAGACAUGGUGUAUCUUGACUUUAGUUUGUUUAGGAGAAGGUCAUGCAUGACAGGAUCAAAAGCCUUACUAGAGAAAUACAGCUGAGAUGGAACUACCAUUAGGCUGCAGUGUUACGUCCCAUCCUUCCAGGGACCAGGGAAGGGAAAUGGCUGCCGUGGAGCCAGCUCAGAGGCCGGUGACUUUCGAGGAGGUGGCUGUGUAUUUCACCGAGGAAGAGUGGGCUCUGCU